GACUUCUAAGAGCUUUGGAUAUAAUAAUUGGAAUCAGGCUAUUCUAGAAGGUGGAGAACUUUUGCAGAAAAAUUAAACCAUUCCCCAUGGACAUCAGCUAAUAUCAGAGAAAAAAGGAACUCAAGCAUCAUCUGUCAUUUCUGACAGCAAUGCUGAGUGGCCUAACGAAAACUGCCAUGGUUGUCUUGUUGAAGGGGUCCUUCAUUUGCCUCCCACGCUAUGUGGUAUCCUUCCUACAGCUAUCCACCUCCCUCCACAACCCCUGAACCUGGCUGCCAAGUGCACGCAGAUCAAAAUAGACAGGGGGUGAGCAUAUA